UACGUAGGGUGCGAGCGUUGUCCGGAAUUAUUGGGCGUAAAGGGCUCGUAGGCGGUUUGUCGCGUCGGGAGUGAAAAUCCAGGGCUUAACUCUGGACUGGCUUCCGAUACGGGCAGACUAGAGGUAUGCAGGGGAGAACGGAAUUCCUGGUGUAGCGGUGAAAUGCGUAGAUAUCCGGAGGAACACCGGUGGCGAAGGCGGCUUCCUGGACCGACACUGACGCUGAGGCGCGAAAGCUAGGGGAGCAAACGGG
rnacentral:rRNA from 1 species